CUUAUCCAAUUUGUACCUCAGGGGAACAGAAAUGUAUUAAUUAUACUCUUAGGUUCUUGAUGUACUCUCAUCAUCAGUCUACACAUGGUCCUCUAUGGUUUACAUGUGGAUUUUUUGGUUUUAAUAAUUUUAUACAAUUCCCAUGAACUCACCACCUGACUCAGAAACUAGACCACUGACAACACCUAGCUGUCCAGGGCGAUCACAGGACUGGGCCCUUGGGGAGACGCUGCAGCAUGGAAUGGUUUUUCACUCCGCGAAUUUCAAGUGGAAAGAAGAGGAUAUUGAGUGACUCACAAAAUCAUGGAAGAGUUUCAGAUCUGAACUCCAAGAAGGAAGACAUUGAUCCAGCUGAGAGACUUUCAAUCUCUUCAUUGUGCAGAAAAUUGGUUAAGUGUUCUCAGGAGACAGCUUCCAACAAGAACACUUACAUAUGGGGCCUUCUGUUAAGGAAACUUGCUAUGUCACAUAGCUAGCAGCCCUUGCAGGGGAUUAAGACUUGCUUAGCAAUCCAGAGUUACAAAACUGGCCCCAAAGUCCAAUUAAAGAUGGCAGGUCAAACACACACAUCAGGCUUAGUAAACAAUAAGUCCAGAUGGAGCCAGUCAGAAAGCUCUGGGAAUAUUUCUUCAAAUAAAUGAAAC